rnacentral:rRNA from 1 species
UACGGGGGGCGAAGCGUGUUCGGAAUUACUGGGCGUAAAGGGCGCGUAGGCGGCCUGCUAAGUCGGAUGUGAAAUCCCUCGGCUCAACCGAGGAACUGCAUCCGAUACUGGCGGGCUUGAAUCCGGGAGAGGGAUGUGGAAUUCCAGGUGUAGCGGUGAAAUGCGUAGAUAUCUGGAGGAACACCGGUGGCGAAGGCGGCAUCCUGGACCGGUAUUGACGCUGAGGCGCGAAAGCUAGGGGAGCAAACGGGG